GGUUCGGUGGUGGAUGGCCCAUACUUGCUUUCUGUGGAGUCUUAGUAUGUGCACCUUUGAAGCAGGAGGAGUCUGUUCGAAUCAGGCCCGAGCCA